AUCUGAGUCCAGUGGCCAGAUAGACAGCAAGACAACUGGAGAUGGCCCUGGAUGCAAUGGAAGACUUUGACCUUCUUAAGAGGGCUGAACUGGACGGAGGAUACAAAGAAACAAAUGUGGACAUGAUGUCAGGAAAAUCUCCUUAAUAUUUAAAACAAUUCAAAAUUGGAAAGCACUGCCUCAAGUCACAGAUUCUGAAAAUAACUGCUGCCCAAGUCUAAGCCUGAAAACCACUGGCUGCCUAACAAGACAAUCCAGACAAGACCACUUCUAUUUUUUGUUUUUACAAGACCUUGAACAGGCUGU